rnacentral:rRNA from 1 species
ACGGGAGGCAGCAGUGAGGAAUAUUGGUCAAUGGGCGGAAGCCUGAACCAGCCAAGUCGCGUGAAGGAUGAAGGUAUUAUGUAUUGUAAACUUCUUUAGACGUAGAGAAAUAAGGGUGUCGUGACACUUGAUGCUAGUAUACGUAGAAUAAGGAUCGGCUAACUCCGUGCCAGCAGCCGCGGUAAUACGGAGGAUCCGAGCGUUAUCCGGAUUUAUUGGGUUUAAAGGGUGCGUAGGCGGCCCCUUAAGUCGGCGGUGAAAUUUCCGGGCUCAACCCGGUCACUGCCGUCGAAACUGGGGGGCUUGAGUGCGUUUGGGGUGGCUGGAAUGUGCGGUGUAGCGGUGAAAUGCAUAGAUAUCGCACAGAACGCCGAUCGCGGAGGCAGGUCACCAAGCCGCAACUGACGCUGAGGCACGAAAGCGCGGGGAUCGAACAGGAUUAGAUACCCUGGUA